rnacentral:rRNA from 1 species
AGCUCAUUACAACAGCCGUUGUUUCUUGGAUCUCUUCUCUACUUGGAUAACUGUGGUAAUUCUAGAGCUAAUACAUGCAACAAAGCUCCGAUCGUAAGUGACGAGCGCACUUAUUAGACCAAAGCCAUCCGGCUUCGGCCGUACUUUGGUGACUCUGGAUAACCUAGCAGAUCGCAUGGGCUCGUCCCGGCGACAAAUCUUUCAAGUGUCUGCCUUAUCAACUUUCGAUGGUAGUUUCUGUGACUACCAUGGUUGUGACGGGUAACGGAGGAUCAGGGUCUGACUCCGGAGAGGGAGCCUGAGAAACGGCUACCACUUCUAAGGAAGGCAGCAGGCGCGCAAAUUACCCAUUCUCAGAACGAGGAGGUAGUGAAGAAAAAUACCAAGAGGAGGCUCAUUGAGUUUCCUCAUUGGAAUGAGUACAAUCUAAAUCUUUUAACGAGGAUCUAGUGGAGGGCAAGUCUGGUGCCAGCAGCCGCGGUAAUUCCAGCUCCGCAAGUGUAUUCCUAUACUGUUGCGGUUAAAAAGCUCGUAGUUGGAUCUGAGUGCUUAGCGUCUGGUGCAGCUCUGCUGUUACUGGACGCGGCACAUGAUUGGUCAAUCGGUUGCUGUUGUUGCCUUCACGGGUGAUGACAGUGGACUGUUGACAAGUUUACUUUGAACAAAUCAGAGUGCUCAAUACGGGCGUUUCCCUUGUAUGGGUGGGCGUGG